rnacentral:rRNA from 1 species
AUUGAACGCUGGCGGCAGGCCUAACACAUGCAAGUCGAACGAGUGGCGGACGGGUGAGUCAUGUCUGGGAAACUGCCCGCUGGAGGGGGGUAACUACUGGAAACGGUCGCUAAUACCGCAUACCCUCGGAUGUGCCCAGAUGGGCUUAGCUAGUCGGUGGGGUAACGGCGCACCUAGGCGACGAUCCCUAGCUGGUCUGAGCGGAUGCCCAGGCAGGCUGGGACUGAGGCACGGGCCAGACUCCUACGGGAGGGAGGUGUGGGGAAUAUGGCACAAUAGGCGCAAGCCUGAUGCAGCCAUGCCGCGUGUAUGAAGAAGGCCUUCGGGUUGUAAAGUACUUUCAGCGAGGAGGCGUUGCUCGCAGAAGAAGCACCGGCUAACUCCGUGACAGCAGCCGCGGUAAUAC